rnacentral:tRNA from 1 species
CCUGGUAUCUCAGACAGUAAAGAAUCUGCCUGCAAUGCAGGAGACCCAGGUUCAAUCCCUGGGUCCAGAA